CGACCAUCCAGAGCAGCCGAGAGACCUGGCUCGACGACGCUGCAGCAACCCCCCGUCCGCGGGUGAGGGUGCUACCGCCAGGACCGAUGGAGG
rnacentral:ncRNA from 2 species